rnacentral:rRNA from 1 species
UACGUAGGGGGCAAGCGUUGUCCGGAUUUAUUGGGCGUAAAGAGCGUGCAGGCGGCCAGGUAGGUCGGUUGUGAAAACUCGAGGCUCGAACCUCGAGAUGUCGACCGAAACCAUCUGGCUAGAGUCCGGAAGAGGAGAAUGGAAUUCCCGGUGUAGCGGUGAAAUGCGCAGAUAUCGGGAAGAACACCCGUGGCGAAGGCGGUUCUCUGGGACGGUACUGACGCUGAGACGCGAAAGCGUGGGGAGCGAACAGG